rnacentral:lncRNA from 1 species
ACUGAGCCACGCCCCCAGCCCCUCACUGGGGAUUCUAGGCAGGGGCUCUACCACUGAGCCACGCCCCCAGCCCCUCACUGGGGGACUCUAAGCAAGGGCUCUACCGCUGAGCCACGCCCCAGCCCCUCACUGGGGAUUCUAGGCAGGGGCUCUACCACUGAGCCACGCCCCCAGCCCCUCACUGGGGGAUUCUAGGCAGGGGCUCUACCACUGAGCCACGCCCCCAGCCCCUCACUGGGGGACUCUAAGCAAGGGCUCUACCACUGAGCCACGCCCCAGCCCCUCACUGGGGAUUCUAGGCAGGGGCUCUACCACUGAGCCACGCCCCCAGCCCCUCACUGGGGGAUUCUAGGCAGGGGCUCUACUGCUGAGACAUGUCCCCAGCCCUCAUUGGGGGAUUCUAGGCAGAGGCUCUACUGCUGAGACAUGUCCCCAGCUCUCUCUUGACUUGAUUUUGAGACAAGGUUUUACUGAGUUGCCAAGACUGGCCUGAAUCUCACUCUGUAGCCCAGGCUGGCCUUGGACUCACAUUCUUCUUAGAAUUCUCUUGCUUAGCCUGCCACUGGGAUCAUAGACUUGCCUCGUUAUACUAAUCUACUGCUACUGCUAAUAAAUACCUUUAAACCGGAGACUUCCCGGUCCCCAGAAAGGCUCCCUAUAGCUUAGUAUUCUCUUAAAACCCAAUGAAGAGAACAGCAGCUUUACCCUGUGUGUCCACAUGAGGGCGCUACAACACUCAGCCAUGGGGUGAUGUGUUCAAGCCUCUCCCACAAAUUUUAUGGGUGCAUUUCUUCACUGUGUGUUCUCUAAUGAGAAGCACUGGGCCACCCCUGCAUGGUUUUUCUUGCCAGUUUCUCUUGUAGCUCUCUCCCAGCAAACAGCCAUAUUCAGCACACUCCUCACUCGUGCAUCGCCAUGGCCCUUCCUUGUGACUAAUUUAGGGGCCAGAUGACUUAGCUGAUACCGUCUGAAAUGAAUGAGCUGAUAACUGUCCGUAGGUUAGGGUUCUGACCAAAGGUUCUUCGAGGCACUAGGAAAAGGGAUUAAUUGACGUACCUUCACUAGCUUAGGGCUUUUCUCCAGUGUGAAUUCUCUGACGUUGAAUGAGUUUCGUGAUCUUGAAAGCCCUCGGGUGGUCACUGUUGUUGGGAGAUUUCUGUUGCACAGGAAGUAACCAGGGUGCAUGGGACACUGGCUGACACCUCCCACACCCUCGGGACUAUCUCCAAGGUGAAUGUUGUAACAGUGUUAAGCAGGUCGGGUGCCUCUAUGAAACUGCUUUGUACUCACAAGUCAAUGAUGCUUCUGCUGGUACAAGUUACAAAUGCCACAGUGUUAAAUAAACUUGAUCUAGACACAGCCAGCCAUGCUUCUUUCUUUUUCUUUCUCCUCUCUCUCUCUCU